AAAUAUAAACAUUAUUUGAACAUAUCUACUUUUAUAAUAGAAGUUUUCUAUUUAAAAAACGUAGAUAUAGGUUAGAAAUAUUGUUAUACUGCUUUGUCCUUUAUAUAGUGCCAUCUCCUUCAUUAGCUGCCUACACACUUAACAUUUGUUGCCUUCCAAUCUACCUCUGAAAUUUUCUUUCUCACUCUCAAAAUGAAGCUUUCGAUGCGUUUGAUCUCAGCUGUUCUCCUCUUGUUCAUGAUAUUCGUUGCUACAGGGAUGGGUCCAGUAUCAGUGGAGGCACGCACAUGUGAGUCACAGAGCCAUAGGUUCAAGGGUCCAUGCGUGAGCGAAAAUAACUGCGCAAACGUGUGCCACAACGAAGGUUUUGGCGGAGGCAAAUGCCGUGGACUUCGUCGUCGGUGCUUCUGCACCAGACAUUGCUGAUUCAUUGAACCUCAUAAAUCAUCAAAAUCAUCGGUCCAUUGUCUUGUGUUUGCUUCUUUCUUAUCUAAAUCUUCAGUAAAGUACCAUGUCGUACGGUACGCGUGUGUUUGUCUUUUGUUUGUUCUCGAAUAAGUCGUUUGUGUCUUUACAGUUGUAAGGUAAUGUUAUAUUCUAAAUGAUGGUAACUGGGGAUUUGAUAAUAUAAACAUGACUAAAAUUAAAAUGUGGUACUAUAUAACUGCAAUUUAUGUGUGUUUGUGGGAUAAAUGAUAGUUUCCAUUGAAUAAGUGGUGUGAAAAUCAUAUUUGAUAAAGGAAAAAUAUUUUGGGAAUUCACUAGAUAAAUAUUAAAAAUCUCGGUUUCUAUUUUUCUGAACCUGAAAAAUCAUAGAUCAAACCAGAAAAAGUAUAUUAAACACAAAAAGUUAAAUAUCCCAGUCAACGUUAACUUUAUUGUAUGCAUGUACUCAAUCCAUGUCUAUGUAUAGUCAUAGUCUAUGCUCUUUAGAAAGGAAGAAAUUUGAGAUCACACUCUUCAAUUUCCACUAGCCAGUGCAUGUUAUUGUGAAGGAGAUUCAACUUCUUUUAAGAGCAAAGUUCUUGGAACUCGAUAAGAAAACUUAUAAAAUGCUGACUAUCUACCUCAAGCAACUAUAAUUAUGAAAACUAUCUCUCAAAUUAGUUUUGACGCCGGGGGAAGUUCCCUAGUGGAUAAAUUGAAGGUUUGUGGUUGGAUUCUAUUGUUGGUUUCUUAAGGAUCGUCUUGAGGAAGCUGUAGGAGCAGAGAUAGUAAGGUUUGAGGGUGGCCCAAACAUCGGCAGCUUGGAUAUAGACGAGCCAAACGCCGUCAUCCUCACCACUAAAACAAUAUAAACUAUAACUUCAGGAGAUCAGAAAGGUUUUCUGACUUUUACUUAUAUUUAUACAUCAUUGGUUUUUGGUUUCAAUUAAAAUGUUUACUCGAAUGGAGGAAGUCUCUUUUGCAGGUAGUUUGUAUUUACUGUUUUGGACUCUAAGAGUUAUUACAGUUAUUAGUUUUAGCUGAAGAAGAUGAGCAUAGCUGUUCUUAACCUCAUGGUUAUAGUGUAAAACUAACUUCAAGCACUGAAAUUCGUAUAUCCAUUGCAAUUCGCUUCACCUAUCUUACGAAAUUAGUUGACAUUACCACUCCACCUAUUGCAGUUUUCGCAGAGCUCUUUAGGUUCCAAACUUCGGACAUCUGACGUCAUUGGCAAAUACUAAUACUCAGUUUCCAGACAUCAGCCUCAUCA